rnacentral:rRNA from 1 species
UACGGAGGGCGCAAGCGUUGUUCGGAAUCACUGGGCGUAAAGCGCGUGCAGGCGGCUUGGUAAGUCGGAUGUGAAAUCCCGGAGCUCAACUCCGGAACUGCACCCGAUACUGCCUCGCUAGAGUCCCGGAGAGGAUGGCGGAAUUUCCGGUGUAGAGGUGAAAUUCGUAGAUAUCAGGAGGAACACCGGGUGGCGAAGGCGGCCCUCUGGACGGUGACUGACGCUGAGACGCGAAAGCGUGGGGAGCAAACAGG